GAACAGAACUAUAGCAUGCUCUCAAUAAAUAAGGAUGAACGCGUGAUUGAAAUAAUUUUAAAAUCAAGACACGGAAAACUGAAGCUUAAAAAGGAAGAGAAGGACAUCAGAAAGUUGAUGGGUCAUCUCAGGCUGGCUGCAUGCCUCAGCUGAAGAUCCCAGCUCCUGUCAAUGCCACCUCUCUGCUUGACUGUCUCCUUCCAGAUUCGAGCAGGUAUGAGCUGGGAAGAAUGAAGGCAGGGCAUGCCCGUGUGCCAGCUCUGCACAGCUGGAUAGAUGAGGAAAGAUAUGGAGGAGAAGCCGGGGAUCAUCUGGAAGUCUAAGGGUGUUGUUUGCCCUUUGGGUUCCAGAAGAUGCAUGCCAGGACCCGGGGUGGCACUGCCAGGAAGCAACAGAGAGGAGAUAAAACUCACAGCAGACAGACUUGCCUUAACAACAACUCCCUUGAAUUAAAACACACUUUUCAAGAAAA
rnacentral:antisense_RNA from 1 species